GUUGUUGUUGUUGUUGUUGUUGUUGUUGUUGUUGUUGUCGUUGUUGUUGUUGGUGGUGGUGGUGAUGAUGUUGUUGUCGUAGUUGUCGUUGUUCUCGUUCUUCUCGUCAUUCUCACCGUUGUCAUUGUUGUCGUUGUCAUCUUCGUUGUCAUCGUCAUUGUUGUUCUGUUGUUGUUGUUGUGGCUGUUGUUGUUGUUGUUGUUGUUGUUGUUGUUGUUGUUGUUGUUGUUGUUGCUGUUGUAGUAG
rnacentral:lncRNA from 1 species